rnacentral:rRNA from 1 species
CCGCGUGAGUGAAGAAGGCCUUCGGGUUGUAAAGCUCUUUCGCAAGGGAAGAAAACUUAUGAUCGAAUAAUCAUGAGGUUGACGGUACCUUGAUAAGAAGCACCGGCUAACUACGUGCCAGCAGCCGCGGUAAUACGUAGGGUGCGAGCGUUAAUCGGAAUUACUGGGCGUAAAGCGUGCGCAGGCGGUUUUGUAAGUCGGAUGUGAAAUCCCCGGGCUCAACCUGGGAACUGCGUUCGAAACUGCAAGGCUAGAGUGUGUCAGAGGGGGGUAGAAUUCCACGUGUAGCAGUGAAAUGCGUAGAGAUGUGGAGGAAUACCAAUGGCGAAGGCAGCCCCCUGGGAUAACACUGACGCUCAUGCACGAAAGCGUGGGGAGCAAACAGGAUUAGAUACCCUGGUAGUCCACGCCCUAAACGAUGUCAACUAGUUGUUGGUAGAGUAAAAA